rnacentral:rRNA from 1 species
AGUACCGUGAGGGAAAGGUGAAAAGCACCCCGGAAGGGGAGUGAAAUAGAACCUGAAACCGUGUGCUUACAAGUAGUCAGAGCCCGUUAAUGGGUGAUGGCGUGCCUUUUGUAGAAUGAACCGGCGAGUUACGAUUUGAUGCAAGGUUAAGCAGUAAAUGUGGAGCCGUAGCGAAAGCGAGUCUGAAUAGGGCGUUUAGUAUUUGGUCGUAGACCCGAAACCAGGUGAUCUACCCUUGGUCAGGUUGAAGUUCAGGUAACACUGAAUGGAGGACCGAACC